rnacentral:rRNA from 1 species
GGCCUUGUAUGCUCGUCAGAUAAUACCAAAACUCUUUUUAUUAAUGUCGUCUGAGUACUAUAUAAUAGUUAAAACUUUCAACAACGGAUCUCUUGGUUCUGGCAUCGAUGAAGAACGCAGCGAAAUGCGAUAAGUAAUGUGAAUUGCAGAAUUCAGUGAAUCAUCGAAUCUUUGAACGCACAUUGCGCCCCUUGGAAUUCCGGGGGGCAUGCCUGUUCGAGCGUCAUUUCAACCCUCAAGCUUAGCUUGGUAUUGAGUCUAUGUCAGUAAUGGCAGGCUCUAAAAUCAGUGGCGGCGCCGCUGGGUCCUGAACGUAGUAAUAUCUCUCGUUACAGGUUCUCGGUGUGCUUCUGCCAAAACCCAAAUUUUUCUAUGGUUGACCUCGGAUCAGGUAGGGAUACCCGCUGAACUUAAGCAUA